CAGUCGCCGCGGUAAUACGAAGGUCCCGAGCGUUGUUCGGAAUCACUGGGCGUAAAGGGAGCGUAGGCGGCGUGGUAAGUCAGAUGUGAAAUCCCGGGGCUCAACCCCGGAACUGCAUCCGAUACUGCCAUGCUAGAGGAUUGGAGAGGUAGCUGGAAUUCUUGGUGUAGCAGUGAAAUGCGUGGAGAUCAAGAGGAACACUCGUGGCGAAAGCGAGCUACUGGACAAUAACUGACGCUGAGGCUCGAAGGCCAGGGUAGCGAAAGGGAUUAGAUACCCGAGUAGUCCCUGUCUCUUAUAA
rnacentral:rRNA from 1 species